GUUCCCUAUCUUCUUCUUACAUCUUUGCAAUUGCUGCUGUAAGUUUUUAAUUUUAUGUUUUAAUUGUUUUUUAGAAAUUUCUUCAUCUUGAAGUGAAUUAUUGAUUGCCUGCAGUGGUGUCUGUUGUAUUAGUUUUUGCCGUUUUCCAUAGCAGUGAUUAUGAUAUCACACAAUAGGAAGGUAUAGCAGAAGUGUAUCUUGAGUUGGUGCCUUUGAUGUUUUUGUCCACUGAAAUUUUAACUUGCUCACACCAAUCCACGCCAUCCUGGCUAAAACAGCCGGAAGUUUUGAUAAGUACAAAGUGCCAGUUGUACUUGCCAGGAUGGCGAAUGAUGGCAUAAUAUUGGUGUCAGCUGUGUUGUCAGGCUUAUCGCUCAUGCGCACUGAAAAACACUUCUGCUAUUAAUACCUUCCUGUAUUAUGUGAUGAUAUUGUUGUUGACAAUAGCAGGGUUGGUAAGUUAGAUGAAUAAUUAGGCCAAAUCAUCACUAGUGCACUAUUAGAACACAAAGGCCUAGUGUGACGGUGUUUGGCCUAAUUAUUCAGCAAACCUACCAACCCUGGACAAUAGAUGUUCAUGUGACAUAAUUGGAUGUUUAUGGCCUUGAUGGGUGGUGCUUCCUUCAGGCAUUUUCAGUUGGCUUCUAGCCUCUUUUGGUAUGCUUUGCAGUUUGAAUUCCAAUUUGAAUACUGAUGGUACAGCAUUUUUUUUUAGCCUGCACGACCCUGUUGAGGAUGGUGUAGUCAGGGGUGGAUUUAUAGGGGGGUGCACAAGGGUGUGACCCCUGUUGGCCUUGGUCAACAGGGGUGCAAAAAAAUCAAAUUUGGAAAUAUGGCACAAUUUCCAAGGUUUUUCCUUUUUUAAAGUCAUACUGAAGCUCAUCAUUCAAUGCCCAUAUCGCAGGAAAUGGCAUUUCUAGGGUUUUAAUUUUCAGAAUGUUCCGGACCCCUGGACCCCCUAGGGAGCUUGCGCCUUCGGCGCUCAAGUCAUUAGGAAGCCAAUUUAUUUGAAUGCUCUCCCACCACCCCCUAAAGAAUUAUAAAGGAACACUCGGCUGCUCACCCAGCACCCCCUAGAAAAACCUUGCUGGAUCGACCUCUGAGUGUAGUCACAUGCAUCGAAAUGAUUACUACAAAUGUAGCUGUGGCAUUUUGCCCUCCACUGUUGCCCAUCAUUUAUUGCUCUCUUAAACUACAUCUUCGCACUUCUCAUGAUGCCUUUCAUCUUUUUAAGGAAAACCUGUAUUAAUGAAAAUAGGCUUUUUCAUUUUGUCAUUAUGAAUAUGUACGGUACCCAUUGUCAUAGUAGUGUUUACUAUUGAAAUGUAAAUAAAUUGAAUAUUAAUAAAUAUUUUAAAG